GUGUUUCAAAAUUUUCACCGUCCAUUUCUACUUCCAUCAUUCUCUGGAUCGUUUCCCCCAUCACUACACACCCAUUUGUGGCGACAGCCGCACAACAGUUAUCAACACUAGGGAAUGCUCCACUAUUCAUCAGAUGUUUUGGGACCAUAUACAUGAGAGUUUUUAAUUGACCCCCCUCAGUCACCUCUAUUCCUCUCUU
rnacentral:lncRNA from 1 species